rnacentral:rRNA from 1 species
GAGUUUGAUCGUGGCUCAGAUUGAACGCUGGCGGCAUGCCUUACACAUGCAAGUCGAACGGCAGCACGGGAGCUUGCUCCUGGUGGCGAGUGGCGAACGGGUGAGUAAUGCAUCGGAACGUAUCCUGGAGCGGGGGGAUAACGUAGCGAAAGUUACGCUAAUACCGCAUAUUCUGUGAGCAGGAAAGCGGGGGACCUUCGGGCCUCGCGCUCUUGGAGCGGCCGAUGUCGGAUUAGCUAGUUGGUGAGGUAAAGGCUCACCAAGGCGACGAUCCGUAGCAGGUCUGAGAGGAUGAUCUGCCACACUGGAACUGAGACACGGUCCAGACUCCUACGGGAGGCAGCAGUGGGGAAUUUUGGACAAUGGGGGCAACCCUGAUCCAGCCAUGCCGCGUGAGUGAAG